CGGUGGAGUAUGUGGUUUAAUUCGAUGCAACGCGAAGAACCUUACCAGGGCUUGACAUCCCGGGAACCUGCCUGAAAGGUGGGGUGCCCGCAAGGGAGCCCGGAGACAGGUGGUGCAUGGCUGUCGUCAGCUCGUGUCGUGAGAUGUUGGAUUAAGUUCCGCAACGAGCGCAACCCUCGUUGCCUGUUGCCAGCACGUGAUGGUGGGCACUCAGGCGAGACUGCCGCAGCAAUGUGGAGGAAGGUGGGGAUGACGUCAAGUCAGCAUGCCCCGUACGCCCUGGGCUACACACAUACUACAAUGCGAGGAGCAAACAGUUGCGAACCCGCGAGGGGGAGCUAAUCUGAGAAGGCCUCGCUCAGUGCAGAUUGCAGGCUGCAACUCGCCUGCAUGAAGGCGGAAUCGCUAGUAACCGUCGGUCAGCAUUACGACGGUGAAUACGUUCCCGGGCCUU
rnacentral:rRNA from 1 species